rnacentral:pre_miRNA from 1 species
CUACUACUCACUCUGUUCCAAAUUACUCGUCGCAGAAAUGGAUGUAUCUAGAACUAAAAUACAUCUAGAUACAUCCAUACUUGUGACAAGUAAUUCGAAACGGAGGGAGUACUUG